GAUGAAGAACGUAGUGAAAUGCGACAAGUAAUGUUAAUUGCAGAAUUCCGUGAAUCAUCGAGUCUUUGAACGCACAUUGCGCCCCCUGGUAUUCCGGGGGGCAUGCCUGUCCGAGCGUCAUUGCUGCCCUCAAGCACGGCUUGUGUGUUGGGCCUCCGUCCUCCUCCCGGGGGACGGGCCCGAAAGGCAGCGGCGGCACCGCGUCCGGUCCUCGAGCGUAUGGGGCUUCGUCACCCGCUCUUGUAGGCCCGGCCGGCGCUUGCCGACACAUCAAUCUUUUUUCCAGGUUGACCUCGGAUCAGGUAGGGAUACCCGCUGAACUUAAGCAUAUCAAUAAGCGGAGGA
rnacentral:misc_RNA from 1 species